rnacentral:lncRNA from 1 species
CCAAGUGGAAAUUCAAUUGUAUUUAUUUUUCUUAUACAGAAUCAGAGAAGUAAAAACCAGUACCAAACUCCAGGUAAAACAGUUUGAUCUGAUUGAUUUUUCUGCAUACUCUCUGUAUGCAUAGCAAUUUGAAUUAAAAAUAAACACACAUAUAUCAUAUUACAAAAUGUAGAAAUAAUUUUUUAAAAAGUUAAAAUACGAACACAUAAAUGAUGUAGUGUGUUAGGGAAACAGUCUCUGUUGAUCACCUACUUUCCCAAUUAAUCUAUAAUUUCCUUUUAACAGCUUUUGUUUGUCAUAAAAGUUGCACUUCUGGAAGUUGUAACAAUUACUUAGAUUUAACAGAAUUGCAAAUAGGUCUUGACAAUGUAUUUACUUCAAGGAAAUGUGUUUUAUCAGGGAAAGAAAAUA